rnacentral:rRNA from 1 species
UACGUAGGGUGCGAGCGUUAAUCGGAAUUACUGGGCGUAAAGAGCGCGCAGGCGGCCGCGCAAGUCGAGUGUGAAAGCCCCGGGCUUAACUUGGGAAUUGCGCUCGAAACUACGUGGCUGGAGUGUGGCAGAGGAAGGUGGAAUUCCAGGUGUAGCGGUGAAAUGCGUAGAGAUCUGGAGGAACACCGAUGGCGAAGGCAGCCUUCUGGGCCAACACUGACGCUCAUGCACGAAAGCGUGGGGAGCAAACAGG